AGCCCCUUAGUCUAGCGGCAAGGACGACAGGCUCUGGACCUGUAAACACCGGUUCAAAUCCGAUAGGGGCUA
rnacentral:tRNA from 1 species